ensembl:misc_RNA Metazoa_SRP Metazoan signal recognition particle RNA
GCCGGGUGUGGUGGUGGGCGCCUGUAAUCCCAGCUACUCUGGAGGCUGAGGCAGGGGAAUCGCUUGAACCCGGGAGCUAGAGGUUGCAGUGAGCCGAGAUCUCGCCACUGCACUCUACCCUGGGCAACAGAGCGAGACUCCGUCUCAA